rnacentral:misc_RNA from 1 species
CUUUUAUUUGCUAGUUUCAUUUGAAGGAACUACAAAAUUUAAUCUCAUAUAAACUAAUUUUUAUGAAAUCAUUAGCAUGAUGUAUUAUGCAAGAAAUGCUUGUACAAACUGUAAGACAAAUGUCUUGUUGAUUGGGGAUGUGAUUGUGUAAGAAAUAGGACGGGAUUUAUGAUAUGGUAGCCUGAUCUCAUGGGAUUAGUAUUAUUAAUUAAGCUGGUUAUCUGUUUUGGCUGUAGUUGGAGUAGUCUGAAAUAACAAAGUAAAGGACAUCAAAAUAUCCACAUAGAUAUAUUAGAAGUUUAUUUAUUUGUCCAUAAGGUCAAAGCCACAAACUUGCUGCAACAACUAUUUAUUCAUCACUUCACAAGCUUAAAAAGAUCCUGAUAACAGGGCAUCCUUACUACAGGAUACAAGCGAUGACCUCGUCAAACAGAAAGGAUCAUGUAGUUUUUUAACCCUCCAUGCUGAUAAUGCACCUCAGAGACUCUCCUUUCAGCAUGUAGUCAAAUGCUUUGUUAAUCUCCGAGAAAGAAACAUAGUGAGUGAUGAACUUUUCCACUUCCAGCUCCUUCUUCAUGUACAUUUCCACGACAGAUGGAAGAUCACUGCGAGGCUUGUAAUUGCCAAAGAAAGUUCCUUUGAGAGUUCUCUCAUUCAACAGAUUCAUAGGAUGAGUUUUGAACGAGUCAUCCUUGCUUGGGACGCCCACAAGUACGGCAACACCCCAACCCUGAUGUGCAAAAAUAAUGUGCUAAAUCUUGUGAUACACAUCUUAGAAAAAAAGCAUACUGCAAUGACAUAUGGGAAGUGCUUACAUCAUGAACACAUUCAAAUGCUGAGAUCAUGGCUUGGAUACUCCCAGUGCAUUCAACACUCCGAUCGACUCCUCCAUCAGUCAUAUCAGCAAUCACCUGUUCAGAACUCACGUAUCAAUUCCAAUUUGAACAGGUAGUUUACUAGAAUCAAGCCUUAAAUAAUUGGAACAAAAAUCAAUUUGACCUUUUCUUUUAAAAGAAGAAAGACAUCACAUUUACAGAAGUAAUAUUUUUCAACAUUCUAGAAGGGAGAAGGUGGUGGAAUAAAAGUAAUGUAAGCAUUUGUGCUACAUUGUACAGGUUUUAUCAGAGUAUAUUAGCAAUUGAUUCUAAAUUGUCCAUUAUCCUGAGAAUCUAAACUCUGCCCUUGAGGACCAAGACAGAGUAGCAUGUCCAACAUAUUUUGCUAAUGAAAUUAUUAAUUGGAAAUCGAACUCACCUGUUGAACAGGCUUAUCAUAAUCUUUUGGAUUCACAAACUCAGUGACACCAAACUUCUUGGCUGCCAGAAGAGACAGAAUGUAAACCAUUCGUCAAUUAAGUGCUGCACAAUUCAAGAUAUCAAGAAAGGUAUGUAUUCCUGUUGUUAAUUACAUAGCUUUUUCUUUAAUACAAAUUCACUCUACCUUCUUCAAAUCGAUUGGGAUUCAAAUCAACACCAAUGAUUCUUGAAGCUCCAGAUAUCCUUGCCCCUUCUGCAGCUGCGAGGCCAACAGCACCUAGUCCAAAAAUUGCAACAGAUUGACCCUUUUUUGGCUUUGCAACAUUCAAAGUGGCACCAAGGCCUGUGGAAAUGCCGCAGCUAAGAACACAAACUUUGUCAAGAGGAGCAGCAGGAUUGAUCUUAGCUAAACAGCCAAAAUGAACAACAGUGUAUUCACUAAAAGUGGAGGUUCCAACAAAAUGAUGAAUGGGUUGUCCAUUUUUGGAGAAUCUAGUCUUUCCAUCAUUGAUCAUAACUCCACGAUCAGUAUUGAUUCGAAGGAGAUCGCACAUAUUGCUUUCUUCAGAUUGACAAUGACGACAUUCCCCACAUUCACCAGUGAAAACAGGAAGAACAUGAUCUCCUGGUUGAAGAUCUUUCACUCCUUCUCCAACACUCUCCACAAUUCCUCCAGCUUCAUGCCCAAAAAUGCGAGGAAACAAUGGGGUUUGUCCCUUGGCUUCCCAGAAAUAAACAUCAGUAUGACAGAGAGAUGUGAAAAGGAUCUUCAAUCGGACUUCAUUGGCUUGCGGCGGUGCCACUUCCACUUCUUCAAUCACUAGUGGCUUUCCGGCCUCCCAAGCCACAGCAGCUUUGCAUUUGAUGACUUGACCGGCAGUGCUUGACAUUGUUAUUGGUUAUGUUGGAAGGGAUAUGAAGAGAAAGAAAGAGAGAGAGAGAAUUUGAUUUGUGUUUGGAAUGAUGGUCG